rnacentral:tRNA from 1 species
CCUGGUGGCUCAGCUGCUAAAGAACCUGCCUGCAAUGCAGGAGACCCAGGUUCAAUCCCUGGGUCAGGA